CUCUCCAGGUCCUCUCCGAUGAGGUAAUCCCAAAGAAAGAUAAGGGAAGCGGUGCGUGUACCAACCUGAGCGCUGAUGUCAGCCGGGGAAAAGCAGAUUAAGGAUUCGGGGAGAGGAAUUGCAGCGAUUUUGGCGUCACCUGCUCGCCGCUGUUAAUUCAGGUCGGAGUCACUCCCGAGCCUCUCCUGCUCCGGGUGAUGCCCCAGUUCACCUUCGCCUGCUUCUGUGGCCUCCACGGCUUCUGCAAGAUGAAGAGGAAGAAGGAACAGGCCAGCGGGGGGCAGGAGACGGCCGUGUGAGGAUCAGCCCCCGCCCGGGACCCCCUCCUGUCCCCUCGAUUCUCUCCCGCAUCCCGUGGAUUCUCUCCUCAUUUCCCGUCCCUCCCUGUCCCCAGGAAGCCGGGGAAGAGCCGAAGUGUCCCUGCCCACGAUGUCCCUGCCCGUCCCGCUGCGAGCGAGAAUUCCCCCCCUGCUCCAGCAAUUCCCAGCAGAGAAACCGGGAAAAGCUCCAAAAUCCGGGCCAAGCCUCGUCCUUGCCGGAAUCCAGAGCUGGGCAGCGCCUCUGGCACGGCCAGGUCCGUCCCUGCCUCCUUCCCUCUCCCUGGAACAAUCCUGGACCUUUCCAGAAACUCGGGAUGCGCUCCGGCAAUUCCUCCCGACUUCGGAUCUUCCUCUUCUCCCCUCCAGAAGCAGCCGGACCUGAGCGCUGCUGGAGCAGAUGAAUCCCGCUGAUGGCAGUGGGAAUGAGGCGUCUAUCCAAGGAAAAUUCCAAGGGUUUUCCGUCCUCUGGAGCGGGAGGCGAGCGGUGAAGCCGAAGCCGGAGCCGUGUUCUGGCUGCUCCCGGAUUUCCUUUGGGAAGGGAUGCAGGAAUGCGUGGGGCUCGUCCUCCCCAUCCCGGAUCUGGCUGGAAUUCCUACAAAUCCCUGCGGAUUCCCAGAGUUCACGGGAAGAGCCUUCACCUCCUCAGGAAAGCAGAGCCGCGCUCCCUAAAGAGGAAUUUAUUCCCACCAGCAAUAAUCCCGUCCACCAAGGGAAGGAUCCAGCUGCCCUGCUCACAUUCCCACCGGGAAUUUGGGCUGGGAACUCUCCAGGCGGGGCAAUUCCUGCAUCCAAGACUCAAAAAAUUAAACCGAAAAAAACCCAUUUUAAAUGUUUUUCUCCCCUCAGAAAUCACCUGCUCGAAGCUGUCCCUUCUCCCAGCCGAGGGGAGGAUUCUCUUCCAGGUAUUCCCAGUCUUCCCACAGGACAAAAUUAAUUCGUGGCUGUCCCAAAACUCGGCGUUUUCCAAAUGUUUUCCCGAGGAUGAAGCAAUUCCAGAUCAGUUGAUUUGGGAAAAUGCUGAAUUUCCAUUUCAUUUCACAUUUUUGCACCUCAGCCUCCUCAGUUCCACCUUUGGGGAGGAACUUCGGGAUCAGCUCUGGACCAAAAAAUCCAAGGAAAUUGGUGGAACUCCAAGGGAAUUUCCUGAAUUUCCCCACUUCCACCUUUGGCGAGGACCUUUGGGAUCAUCUCCAGACCAAAACCAAAAAAUCCAAGGAAGUCGGGAAUUUUCUGGGAAUUCCAAGGGAAUUUCCUGACUGUAACUUUAAUUUUUGCGCAAGGAUUCGUGGUGGCCGCGAGAGGGAUUUCAACAAGUUGGGAUUAAUCCCUGCACGGGUGUGAAGAUAAAGGUGGAAUUCCAACCUUGUUUUAUUCCAGGAAAAAUCCAGAGGGACACUCUGACACCGAGAUAUGUAAAAAAAUAUUAAUUAUAGCGAGAGGAGCUUGGAUCGACUUCCAUCCCUCCGAUUUCUCCUGUUUCUCCAGGUUUUUCCUAUGCAAAAACACACAAAAAACCAGCAAAAACAAAGCCAGGCUCAGCAGCAGGUCCUGACUCAACAAAGCCCCGCUUAAAGCUAAAGCUUGGCUUUGGGAUUUUGCUGAUUCCAGCCUGGAUCGAUCCCUGGGAAAGAGGGGAAGGGGCAGAACCCUCCUUGCAGCCUCUCCUGACACGGAUCAAAGCAUGAAAUCUCUUUUUAUCGUCCUUUAUUUUUAUCCCUGCUGCCCGGAUUUCUUUGGGAAAAGAUUCCCAAGAUGUUCCUCAGGAAUCUCCCGGCCCCAGGAGCCAUAGGAAUUCCUACUGUACAUUUAUUUUUUUGGGGGGGGUUUUGUUUUUGGGGAGGGGGAAAUAAAAGUGGCAUUUGUAAAUAAGCACAGGAACAGAGCAGAACAAAUCCUAUAGGAAUUCUUAUUCCAGAGGAAUAAAUUAAUGGAAAAAAAAUUAAUGGAUAAAUAAAUUAAUGGAUAAAUAAAUUAAUG